rnacentral:rRNA from 1 species
UACGUAGGCAGCGAGCGUUGUUCGGAGUUACUGGGCGUAAAGCGUGCGUAGGCGGUCCGGUAAGUCCGCUCUGAAAGUCCGGGGCUCAACCCCGGGAGGCGGGCGGAUACUGUCGGGCUAGAGUCCGGAAGAGGCGAGUGGAAUUCCUGGUGUAGCGGUGAAAUGCGCAGGAUAUCAGGAGGAACACCAAUGGCGAAGGCAGCUCGCUGGGACGGUACUGACGCUGAGGAGCGAAAGCGUGGGUAGCGAACAGG